AGUCCAGUGGCCUAGUGGUUAGAGUGUCUGCCUUGGAUGUGGGAGACCAAGGGUUCAAAACCCUGGUAGAGUCAUUCUAGACUU